rnacentral:rRNA from 1 species
UAGGGAAUCUUCGGCAAUGGACGAAAGUCUGACCGAGCAACGCCGCGUGAGUGAAGAAGGUUUUCGGAUCGUAAAACUCUGUUGUUAGAGAAGAACAAGGACGUUAGUAACUGAACGUCCCCUGACGGUAUCUAACCAGAAAGCCACGGCUAACUACGUGCCAGCAGCCGCGGUUAUACGUAGGUGGCAAGCGUUGUCCGGAUUUAUUGGGUGUAAAGCGAGCGCAGGCGGUUUCUUAAGUCUGAUGUGAAAGCCCCCGGCUCAACCGGGGAGGGUCAUUGGAAACUGGGGGACUUGAGUGCAGAAGAGGAGAGUGGAAUUCCAUCUGUGGCGGUGAAAUGCGUGGAUAUAUGGAGGGAAACCAGUGGCGAGGGCGGCCCCCUGGACAAAGACAGACGCUCAGGUGCGAGAGCGUGGGGAGCAAACAGG